rnacentral:lncRNA from 1 species
CGCAACCCUAACAACACACAACAUUCCAGGAAUGUACUACCAAAGUUCUAUCAAUAUUUGAAUGUCCUGGACAUUUAGGGAACAUUCGGUGAACAUCUGUUUAAAAUAUUCCUGGAAUGUUACCAUAAGACAUUCUGUGAACAUACUACCAAUGUUCCUAUAUUUUAAGUUGCGAAAUAAUACAUACGUGUAAGAGAUACAACAUUACUUAUAACAUACCAGACAAACUAAGUGACAUUUUAGGCCUACAGUGCAAUAAUAUGUCAAAUUUAAAGAGUUUCCCAAGAUUAUAAACAUACAAAUGUAAUAAAAAUUAUUGUUCGCGAAUAUUCAAUUUGGAAUGCGAUUUUGUUAAUAAAAAAAUACUUAUAACUUAUGCAAAACCCAAGAGAGGCAUUUAUAUUUAUUUCUUUUGCGUUCAUUUUCAAAUUCGCCGUGCAUAUAUUUUUGUGCAUGGCGCUUGAGAGGGCAUCACGUGACUAAAAACGACCAACCAACGACCUCGCUUCGGCCAUCUUGGCAUCUUCAUCUUGGCGACCUUGCCUUGCCGUGGAUUGUUUUUAGUUGCUUGUAUUAUUUGUGCUUUUUAAGAAUAUUUUUUUAAUUCGGAUACUUUUAUAAUAGCUUUAAUAGUAUUAUUAACAUAGUGCAUAAAAUGGUGUCCUGUUUUUAACGCAGUUGGAGUAGCAGAAACAAAUGUAGAUAAAAAAAUCUGCAGGAAUAACGUUUCAAUUAUGACAGAAGCUCAAAACAAAUGACUGUGAAUGAAAAGCCCUAUUAAAAGCUUUCCAGAAGAUCCUGCGAAGAAGACAUGAAGUAUAGAUCAGAUUUGUUAAUAGAGGAGUAUGUUCAAAACACUUUUUAGAAAAAGAUAUUGACAGAACUUCACUUUCAUCUGUUCGUUUGAGAGACUGUGCUGUUCCAAUAGCUUAUGUCACACAGAAUCAGCUGAGAGAAGUGGUCUACAAAAAACCAGAAAGGAAACGGAAUAUGUGGCUACGAAAAGCAAAAGAAAGGUUUACAAAGCAAAUGUGACACAUUUUUUUAUAAUAUUUAGGAAUGUCAGCAAAUUACAUUAAAAAAAUGUAUAUAAAGAUUUUUUGCAAUAAAAAUGUUUAUAUUUA